rnacentral:rRNA from 1 species
UACGGAGGGUGCAAGCGUUAUCCGGAUUCACUGGGUUUAAAGGGUGCGUAGGCGGGCAGGUACGUCCGUGGUGAAAUCUCCGAGCUUAACUCGGAAACUGCCAUUGAUACUAUUUGUCUUGAAUAUUGUGGAGGUAAGCGGAAUAUGUCAUGUAGCGGUGAAAUGCUUAGAUAUGACAUAGAACACCAAUUGCGAAGGCAGCUUACUACACAAUGAUUGACGCUGAGGCACGAAAGCGUGGGGAUCAAACAGG